rnacentral:rRNA from 1 species
UACGUAGGUGGCAAGCGUUGUCCGGAUUUACUGGGCGUAAAGAGCGCGCAGGCGGUCGUUCAAGUCGCGUGUGAAAGCCCCCGGCUCAACUGGGGAGGGUCACGCGAUACUGAUCGACUCGAAGGCAGGAGAGGGAAGUGGGAAUUCCCGGUGUAGUGGUGAAAUGCGUAGAUAUCGGGAGGAACACCAGUGGCGAAGGCGACUUCCUGGCCUGUUCUUGACGCUGAGGCGCGAAAGCUAGGGGAGCAAACGGG